UACGUAGGGGGCGAGCGUUGUCCGGAUUUAUUGGGCGUAAAGAGCUCGUAGGCGGUCUGUUGCGUCCGCUGUGAAAACUCGGGGCUUAACCCCGAGCCUGCAGUGGAUACGGGCAGACUAGAGGUAGGUAGGGGAGAAUGGAAUUCCCGGUGUAGCGGUGAAAUGCGCAGAUAUCGGGAGGAACACCGGUGGCGAAGGCGGUUCUCUGGGCCUUACCUGACGCUGAGGAGCGAAAGCGUGGGGAGCGAACAGG
rnacentral:rRNA from 1 species